rnacentral:rRNA from 1 species
GAGUUUGAUCAUGGCUCAGAUUGAACGCUGGCGGCAUGCCUUACACAUGCAAGUCGAACGGUAACAGGUCUUCGGAUGCUGACGAGUGGCGAACGGGUGAGUAAUACAUCGGAACGUGCCCGAUCGUGGGGGGAUAACGAAGCGAAAGCUUUGCUAAUACCGCAUACGAUCUACGGAUGAAAGCAGGGGACCGCAAGGCCUUGCGCGAACGGAGCGGCCGAUGGCAGAUUAGGUAGUUGGUGGGAUAAAAGCUUACCAAGCCGACGAUCUGUAGCUGGUCUGAGAGGACGACCAGCCACACUGGGACUGAGGCAUGGCCCAGACUCCUACGGGAGGCAGCAGUGGGGAAUUUUGGACAAUGGGCGAAAGCCUGAUCCAGCCAUGCCGCGUGCGGGAUGAAGGCC